rnacentral:piRNA from 2 species
UCCUGGUCUGGCCACAUUUGACUGUGUCA